rfam:Lactococcus garvieae Lg2 DNA, complete genome.
GGCAAAGUUAAUAAGGGCGCACGGUGGAUGCCUUGGCAUUAAGAGCCGAAGAAGGACGUGACUAACGACGAUAUUCUAGGGGGAGCAGUAAGUACGCAUUGAUCCCUAGGUCUCCGAAUGGGGAAACCCACUAUGUUAUGCAUAGUAUCCGUAAGUGAAUACAUAGCUUACGCGAAGGUAACGCAGAGAACUGAAACAUCUAAGUACCUGCAGGAAGAGAAAGUAAAAACGAUUUCCUAAGUAGCGGCGAGCGAACGGGAAACAGGCCAAACCAAGAAGCUUGCUUCUUGGGGUUGUAGGACUGCAACGUGGACUUAAAGUCUAUAGAAGAAUUACCUGGGAAGGUAAGCCAAAGAGAGUAAUAGCCUCGUAUUUGAAAUAGACUUUAUACCUAGCAGUAUCCUGAGUAGGGCUGGACACGCGAAAUCCAGUUUGAAUCCGGGAGGACCAUCUCCCAAGCCUAAAUACUCCUUAAUGACCGAUAGUGAACCAGUACCGUGAGGGAAAGGUGAAAAGAACCCCGGGAGGGGAGUGAAAUAGCACCUGAAACCGUGUGCCUACAAGAAGUUCGAGCCCGUCAAUGGGUGAGAGCGUGCCUUUUGUAGAAUGAACCGGCGAGUUACGUUAUGAUGCGAGGUUAAGCUGAAGAGGCGGAGCCGUAGCGAAAGCGAGUCUGAAUAGGGCGCUUUAGUAUCAUGAUGUAGACCCGAAACCUAGUGACCUAUCCAUGAGCAGGUUGAAGGUGCGGUAAGACGCACUGGAGGACCGAACCAGGACACGUUGAAAAGUGUUUGGAUGACUUGUGGAUAGCGGAGAAAUUCCAAACGAACUGGGAGAUAGCUGGUUCUCUCCGAAAUAGCUUUAGGGCUAGCGUCGCAAUUUAAGUGUAUUGGAGGUAGAGCACUGUUUGGAUGAGGGGCCCAUCUCGGGUUACCAAUUUCAGAUAAACUCCGAAUGCUAAUACACAUGUGCGGCAGUCAGACUGCGAGUGCUAAGAUCCGUAGUCGAAAGGGAAACAGCCCAGACCACCAGCUAAGGUCCCAAAAUAUAUGUUAAGUGGAAAAGGAUGUGGGGUUGCACAGACAACUAGGAUGUUAGCUCAGAAGCAGCUAUCAUUCAAAGAGUGCGUAAUAGCUCACUAGUCGAGUGACCCUGCGCCGAAAAUGUACCGGGGCUAAACAUAUUACCGAAGCUGUGGAUUUAAUAUUAAUUAAAUGGUAGGAGAGCGUUGUAAUCAGCGAUGAAGGUAUACCGUGAGGGGUGCUGGAGCGAUUACAAGUGAGAAUGCCGGUAUGAGUAGCGCAAGAUAAGUGAGAAUCUUAUCCACCGUAAGACUAAGGUUUCCAGGGGAAGGCUCGUCCGCCCUGGGUUAGUCGGGACCUAAGGCGAGGCCGAAAGGCGUAGUCGAUGGACAACAGGUUGAUAUUCCUGUACUAGUAUUGUUAGUGAUGGAGGGACGCAGUAGGCUAAAGGGAGCCAGUUAAUGGAUUCUGGUCUAAGCAGUGAGGUGUGGAAUGUGUCAAAUGCAUUUUCCUUUAACAUUGAGCUGUGAUGGGGAAGCAACUACGGUUGCGAAGCCCUUGAUGUCACACUGCCAAGAAAAUCUUCUAGCGUUUAAUUCAAUACUACCCGUACCGCAAACCGACACAGGUAGUCGAGGCGAGUAGCCUCAGGUGAUCGAGAGAACUCUCGUUAAGGAACUCGGCAAAAUGACCCCGUAACUUCGGGAGAAGGGGUGCUGUAGAAAUACAGCCGCAGUGAAAAGAUCCAAGCAACUGUUUAUCAAAAACACAGCUCUCUGCUAAACCGCAAGGUGAUGUAUAGGGGGUGACGCCUGCCCGGUGCUGGAAGGUUAAGAGGAGGGGUUAGACAUUAGUCGAAGCUCUGAAUUGAAGCCCCAGUAAACGGCGGCCGUAACUAUAACGGUCCUAAGGUAGCGAAAUUCCUUGUCGGGUAAGUUCCGACCCGCACGAAAGGCGUAAUGAUUUGGAUACUGUCUCAACGAGAGACUCGGUGAAAUUUUAGUACCUGUGAAGAUGCAGGUUACCCGCGACAGGACGGAAAGACCCCAUGGAGCUUUACUGCAGAUUGAUAUUGAGUACCUGUGAAGCAUGUACAGGAUAGGUAGGAGACUUUGACCUUGGGACGCUAGUUUCAAGUGAGUCGCUGUUGGGAUACUACCCUUGCUUCAUGGUUGCUCUAACCCACACGCAUAAUCGGCGUGGGAGACAGUGUCUGUCGGGCAGUUUGACUGGGGCGGUCGCCUCCUAAAGAGUAACGGAGGCGCCCAAAGGUUCCCUCAACAUGGUUGGAAAUCAUGUGUAGAGUGUAAAGGUAUAAGGGAGCUUGACUGCGAGAGCUACAACUCGAGCAGGUAGGAAACUAGGGCUUAGUGAUCCGGUGGUACCGCAUGGAAGGGCCAUCGCUCAACGGAUAAAAGCUACCCUGGGGAUAACAGGCUUAUCUCCCCCAAGAGUUCACAUCGACGGGGAGGUUUGGCACCUCGAUGUCGGCUCGUCGCAUCCUGGGGCUGUAGUCGGUCCCAAGGGUUGGGCUGUUCGCCCAUUAAAGCGGCACGCGAGCUGGGUUCAGAACGUCGUGAGACAGUUCGGUCCCUAUCCGUCGCGGGCGUAGGAAAUUUGAGAGGAUCUGCCCUUAGUACGAGAGGACCGGGGUGGACUUACCGCUGGUGUACCAGUUGUUCCGCCAGGAGCACCGCUGGGUAGCUAUGUAGGGAAGGGAUAAGCGCUGAAAGCAUCUAAGUGCGAAGCCCACCUCAAGAUGAGAUUUCCCAUUCUUUAUGAAUUAAGAGCCCUGAGAGAUGAUCAGGUUGAUAGGCUGGAAGUGGAAGUCCUGCGAGGGAUGGAGCGGACCAGUACUAAUAGCUCGAGGACUUUACCAA